UUGGGUAGAAAUUAGCCACACUUUUUAGUAGUACUAGGCAAAUUUAUGAUUUUGUUGCAUUUUAUUUUCCUUUUUGUCAUUUGACAUAAAGAGACAAUUUUGAUAUCAGAUUUUGGAUUUUUAUUGUUAAGAAAUCCCUAAUUUGUUGCUAACAUAAAUUUUUAGUCUUCUGAUCAUAAUCGGAUGAAACAGAACGCGUUUGAGCUGCGUAUUACAUAUUCAAUUGUUUUUUUGUUAAAAAAUGAGUUGUCAAAUCUUUGAUUAAAUGACUUAUGAUACAUCAUUGGGUCAAACUUAGGAUUUCACCAUAUCUGUAUUUAAUUUUUUUAAGGGAAAACCUUUACC
rnacentral:lncRNA from 1 species